rnacentral:rRNA from 1 species
CCUACGGGAGGCAGCAGUGGGGAAUAUUGCACAAUGGGGGAAACCCUGAUGCAGCGACGCCGCGUGAGUGAAGAAGUAUUUCGGUACGUAAAGCUCUAUCAGCAGGGAAGAAAAUGACGGUACCUGACUAAGAAGCCCCGGCUAACUACGUGCCAGCAGCCGCGGUAAUACGUAGGGGGCAAGCGUUAUCCGGAUUUACUGGGUGUAAAGGGAGCGUAGACGGCAGCGCAAGUCUGGAGUGAAAUCCCAUGGCUUAACCAGGGAACUGCUUUGGAAACUGGGCAGCUAGAGUGCAGGAGAGGUAAGCGGAAUUCGUAGUGUAGCGGUGAAAUGCGUAGAUAUUAGGAGGAACACCAGUGGCGAAGGCGGCUUACUGGACUGUAACUGACGUUGAGGCUCGAAAGCGUGGGGAGCAAACAGGAUUAGAUACCCUAGUAGUC